ensembl:snRNA U6 U6 spliceosomal RNA
GUGUUACUCGGUAGCACAUAUACUAAAAUUGGAACGAUACAGAGAAGAUUAGCAUGCAAGGAUGACAUGCAAAUUGGUGAACCGUUCCUCAUUCCU